rnacentral:rRNA from 1 species
GACGAACGCUGGCGGCGUGCCUAAUACAUGCAAGUCGAGCGCAGGAAGCUGACGGAACUCUUCGGAGGGAAGGCAGUGGAAUGAGCGGCGGACGGGUGAGUAACACGUAAGGAACCUGCCUCAAGGAUUGGGAUAACUCCGAGAAAUCGGAGCUAAUACCGGAUAGUUCAACGGACCGCAUGGUCCGCUGAUGAAAGGCGCUCCGGCGUCACCUUGAGAUGGCCUUGCGGUGCAUUAGCUAGUUGGUGGGGUAACGGCCCACCAAGGCGACGAUGCAUAGCCGACCUGAGAGGGUGAUCGGCCACACUGGGACUGAGACACGGCCCAGACUCCUACGGGAGGCAGCAGUAGGGAAUCUUCCACAAUGGACGAAAGUCUGAUGGAGCAACGCCGCGUGAGUGAUGAAGGUUUUCGGAUCGUAAAACUCUGUUGCAAGGGAAGAACACGUACGAGAGGGAAUGCUCGUACCUUGACGGUACCUUACGAGAAAGCCACGGCUAACUACGUGCCAGCCGCCGCAGUAAUAC